AGAAGGGUUAUCUGAGGACACCACCCCUGAAAUGAGGCUUAAAGAUGACUAAAUUGGCCCCAAAGGGGAGGAAGUACAGUCUUCAAAGAGCACCCAGAGCAGAUGCAAAGGGAAGAAGAGACCACAGAAUGGGGUGUGUGAGGAGUUAAAUAUGCAAGGGAUGGAUGACUACAGGUUUUGCAUGCCAAGCUAAACAGUUGGACUUUAUUUUGGAAGCAGCAGGAGUCACUGAAAGACACCUGAGCUCAGAAGCCACCAUAUUGGGUUAGUUUUCAGUAACUACUGCUCUGGCUGAGAUGAGGAAAACGACUUGCCUUGCCUAGAGGAGGAGGAAUGUGGAAGAAGGAGAUCCUAAGAGGGUGUUUCAGUGCACAGCAGGUGAUCAAGCAAAGCCUCAGCCUGAGGGAGGGGGAGCAAGAACAUGGCUUACUCCCCUGGUGCUAAAAAGUGCUGAACAAGGCAACCCCAUCAGCGGCUGGGAGCAACUCUCAUGACAAAACACUGCAUUUUAUCAGAUCUGAGAUCUCACUGAUCACAAACAUACAUUAUUUUACAUACUACAGAGAAAGGAAAAGCAUGCAAGAUGGGAUUUUUUUUUUUUUUUUUGGAAACAGUUGUGCCCUGUUGCCCAGGCUGGAGUGCGGUGGCAUGAUCUUGGCUCACUGCAACCUCACCUCCUGGGUUCAAGUGAUUCUCCUGCCUCAGCCUCCUGAGUAGCUGGGAUUACAGGCGCCCAUCACCAUGCCCAGCUAAUUUUUUGUAUUUUUAGUAGAGAUGGGGUUUCGCCAUGUUGGCCAGGCUGGUUUUGAACUCCUGGCCUCAAGUGAUCUGCGCACUUUGACCUCCCAAAAUGCUAGGAUUACAGGAGUGAGCCACCAUGCCCGGCCCAAGAUGGUAAACUGAACAGGUAUCAGGGACCACUUGAAUCCAGGGAACCAAAUGGCCACAAAGAAACCCGCCAUGCAGAAAGGGAUGGCAAAGAGCCUUGGAUGUUUCAACCUGGGAACUGGGCAGAGAGGGGAGGAAUCUCCCCUGAAGAUUUGAAUCCUAAGUCAGUAGUUACUCUCAUUUGCAUUCUGAACUCACCACCACUGUGGUUCAAGUGCCCUCAAGCAGGGAAUCUAAACUUUGGUCUUAGUUUACCAGCACCUCAAGUGACGAGCAGAGGCAGACACUGAAGAAAUGAACUUCCAUGGCAACUUUAAGAUAUGGAGUCUCGCUCUGUCACCCGGCUCACUGCAACCUCUGCCUCCUGAAUUCAAGCAAUUCUCCCGCCUCAGCCUUCCGAGUAGCUGGGACUACAGGCAUGUACCACCACGCCUGGCUAACUUUUUUAUUUUUAGUAGAAAUGGGGUUUCACCAUGUUGGCCAGUCACUCCCGACCUCAGAUGAUCUGCCUGCCUCGGCCUCCUAAAGUGCUGGGAUUACAGGCAUGAACCACUGCACCCGGACGCACAAUGCUUUUACAGUACAUAAAAUACUUAAAAUACAGUUGCUUAUUUCAUUUCUUCAGUAAUCCUAGAGAGUAUUUUCUGUACCUUAUUGAUGAGGAAUUGAAGCUGGGAUAGCUCCUCUCCUGACUCUUGAGGUCAGAAAACAAGUGCACCGAGCUGUAGAAUGCACAAAUGGCAAACAUUAAAGGGGAGGUCCAGAAAGUUGAAUGGAGUGCAGGGGAGUUUCUGAAGUGACUGAAGGUGGGAAUAAGAGGCUCAGGAUGAAAAUGAUCAUCUGGGGACCGUGGGGAGUGGUUAAAACCGGGAAAUGAACCGAGUGGUGAGAGAUAUGGGCAGCCUAGAAAGAGGCUAAACUGUCACAGACUUUAAGUACACAGUGCAACAAACUCAGGGGCUCAGCUUUUUAAAGCACAGGUCCAUGUUUGAUCAAGGAGACUCAAAACUUCUUCCCAUUCAUUUUAUUCUGAAUACUUGUUUGAUUAAGUCUUUCAGAAUGUUUCUAUGGGGGCUGUUUCAGUUAACAAAGCAGAGAAAACCAGAAACCUGUCUAAAACACUAAUUUUUAAAGAGUGAUCUCAAUGUUGUUUUUUUUUUCCAGAUACUCCUCGCACAAGAAGGUUUGUAGAAAUAUAGAACUUUUAACAACGGAUAACUAUGAGAAGGCCCAACCCAGAAGUUUCCUGUAGAUUAAGAGAAAAGAAAAACAAAAAUAUAGGCAAUCUUGGAGGCCCAAGAUUUGCCCAGUAAUAAACAAUUUUUCUGGAAAACUGGAAACAAGGUUUAUUUCACCUCAGUCAGGCUGUUAGCCAGUAUUUUUGUUGGACUCAAGUUCUUAAAGAUUCAAAUGUUUCCUAUUCUCAACCUCUGGCUUACAGAUAAAUACUUAACGGUUUUUAUCUGGGGGCUGGCCCUACUUGAUAAGGACUUAUAAAACUGUACUAAAAAAUAUGUUUAAACAAAUCUUUCCCGUGACAGUAGCAGUCUUUUCCUCCAUGAGGAAAUCUGGCUCUUAGAGCUGAUCUGCAGGAAUUCGCUGCCAAAUAAGAGAUCUGCGGGCUGUGGGUUUGCCCAGGACGCUAACGGUGCUAACUGCUGUACACCCUUAGGAGCACCUUUCAGACCCCAGGGCAUCGAACAAGGCACAAUUUCAUCUUCCAUUUCAUUCCACUGCCAUUUCAUAAUUUAGAAAUUAAGGAACAAAAAAGUUAAAUAGCUUGCUCAGGGCAUAAAGUAAGUCCAAGUCAAGGUUUAAGCUUUUAAACUGAAGCCUGUCCGGCUGCACACCCCUUUUCCUCAGAGAUGGGCUCUCACUGGUGGCUUGGUAAGGCAGCUAUUUUUUUCAUUGCGUUUUUAAAGGGGAUAUUGUUUUUGUUUGUUUUUUGAGACAGAGUCUCGCUCUGUCACCCAGGCUGGGGUACAGUGGCGUGAUCUUAGCUCACUGCACCCUCCACCUCCCAGGUUCAAGUGAUUCUCCUGCCUCAGCCUCCCGAGUAGCUGGGACUACAGGAAUGACUACGCCCGACUAAUUUUUGUAUUUUUAGUAGAGAUGGGGUUUCACUAUGUUGGCCAGGCUGGUCUCAAACUCCUGAUCUCAAGUGAUCACCCACCUCAGCCUCUCAAAGUGCUGGGAUUACAGGCAUGAGCCACCACACCCGGCCUGUUUUCAUCAUUGUUUUUAAUGCAACUUUUAGGAUGCUUCUGAUUUUCCUAAUUUUAUUGAGGAAUAAUUAAUAGAAAUUAUACGUAUUCAAAGUAUACAAUGUGAUUAUUUGAUAUAAAUAUAGAUUGCAUAUUGAUUCCCAUAAUCAAAUUAAUCAACACAUCUGUCAUCACACAUAGUUACCCUCUGCAUGGAGAGGGAAAAGACUAAGGACGCUCCCUAAUCUCCAGAACAUAUUCAUCUUAUAAAUGAAAGCUUGUACCCUUUGACCAGCAUCUCACCGUUUCUCCCAUGCCCCAGACCCUGACAAUCACCAUUCUACUCUUGGCUUGUGGAUUCAACGUUUUUAUAUUCUACAUAUAACUGAGAUCAUACAGUAUUUGUUUUUCUGUGUCUGGAUUAUUCCACUUAGCAUAAUGUCCUCCAGGUUCAUCCAUGUUGUUGCAAAUGGCAGGCUUUCCUUAUUUUUAUGGCUAAAUAUUAUUCUAUCCUGUAUAUAUAUACCACAUUUUCUUUAACCAUUCCUAAGAUAAAUGGCACUUGGGUUGUUUCCAUAUCUUUGCUAUUGUGAGUAAUGCUGAAAUAAAUAUGGAAGUGAAGAUAUCUCUUUGACAUACUAAUUUGAUGUCUUUUAAACAUAUAUCCACAAGUGGGACUGCUGGAUCAUAUAGUUGAUUUUUACAAAACUUCCAUACCAAUGUCCAUAAUGGCUGUACCAAUUUUCACCCUAAUAGCGUACAAGGGUUCCCUUUCCUCCAUAUCCUUGUCAAAACUUGUUAUAUUUUGUCUUUUUGAUAACAGGCAUCCUAACAAAUGUGAGAUAAUAUCUCAUUGUGGUUUUGAUUUGCAUUUCUCUAAUGAUUAGUGAUGUCAAGCACCAUUUUUCUUUUUUUUUUCUUUUUCUUUUUUUUUUUUGAGACACAAUCUCACUCUGUUGCCCAGGCUGGAGGGCAGUGGCAUGAUCUUGGCUCAAUGCAGUCUCGACCUCUUCGGGUUCAGGUGAUCCUCCUGCCUCAGCCUCCUCACCUCAGUCUAAUGGGUAACUGAGACUAUAGGUGCAUGCCACCACGCCUAGCUAAUUUUUGUAUUUCUUGUAGAGACAGGGGUUCACCAUGUUGUCCAGGUUGGUCUGGAACUCCUGGACUCAAGCAAUCCACCUGCCUCGGCUUCCCAAAAUGGUGAGAUUACAGGCAUGAGCCACCGUACCUGGCAAGCAUCUUUUCAUUUACCUGUUGGCUAUUUGUGUGUCUUCUUUGGAAAAGUGUCUAUUAAGGUCCUUUGCCCCACCUCCACUUUUUUUUUUAUUUUAGUAUUGAGUUGUACGAGUUUCUCGUAUAUUAUGGACAUUGACCUUUUACCAGAUAUAUGGUUUGUAGACAUUCUCUCCCAGCCUGUAUGUUACCUUUUCAUUUUGUUGGUUGUUUCCUUUGCCGUGCAGAAGCUUUUUGGCUUGAUGUAGUCCCACUUGUAUGUUUUUGCUUUUGUUGCCUGUGCUUUGAGGUAACAGCAACAAAAUCAUUGCCAAGGCCAAUGUCAAGAAGCUUUUUUCCCCUGUGUUUUCUUCUAGAAAUUAUAUGGUUUCAGGCCUUACCAUUAAGUCUUUCUUUUCUUUUUUUUUGAGAUGGAGUCUCGGUCUGUCACCCAGGCUGGAGUGCAAUGGCAUGAUCUCAGCUCACUGCAACCUCCGCCUCCCAGGUUCAAGCCAUUCUCCUGCCUCAGCCUCCCGAUUAGCUGGGAUUACAGGUGCUGCCACCACGCCUGGCUCAUUUUUUGUAUUUUUAGUAAAGAUGGGGUUUCACUAUGUUGGCCAGGCUGGUCUCAAACUCCUGACCUUGUGAUCCGCCAGCCUCAGCCUCCCAAAGUGCUGGGAUUACAGGCAUGAGCCACUGCACCCGGCCUCUUACAGUUAAGUCUUAAUCCAUUUCAAGUUGAUUUUUGUAUAUGGUGUUAAGGGUCCAAUUUUAUUUUUUGGCAGGUGGAUAUCCAGUUUUCCCAACAGUAUUCUUCGAAGAGACUGUCCUUUCCCCCAUUGCGUAUUCUUGGCACCCUUGUCAGGAUGCUUCUAUGCAAUCCUCCAGGUACGUACUAGAUCCAUCUGACAUUUAGGUCAUUAUGCAUUUAUCAUUUACUCCCACUGGAUUUUAAGCUUCUUUCCAGGGCAGUGACCAUGACUUAUUUAUCCUGUAGCAGUCUUUCACCACACCUAGAGCAGUGCCCCAACACACAGCGCUUAAGAAGAGCAUGAAGUGACAAUAUACACAGAUUAUUAACUUCUUUGUGCUCCAAGGGAAGUCUUUUAUGGAUACUAAAAGUAGAAGUCAUUAGUUCCAAAUAAAUUUAAACAGGUUUCAGGUAUUCUUCUACUGACCGAAAUUAGACCAUUCCUUGUCCCCCUUUUCCUUCCAUCCCUUAUAAAUUCCCAUGACACAACAAACGAACAAAAGCUCUAAAAGUAGACUGUUGUAUGAAAAAGACCCUGAACCUAUCAGUUUAAAGAAAACCUGGAAAAAUUUUUAAUGAAAACCAAACUUAGUAUCUUUUCUUCUCCUCUUCCCUCCUUCCUUCCCAAGAGGCUUCGGCAGCACCAGGGCUCCCCAGAACAAACCAAAGCCCUUUGGUGGAGCAUUUGGAUUUCAUCUCCCAUCUGGACUGUACCCCUUCCACCGGCGAGGGCAAAGUUCACAUGUGAAGUCUACAGAGUAAGAUGCCAUGAUGGGUAAUGUGGGGAUUCAGGAACAAGCGAGUGAGUAAGCAGGGCUGGAAACUGAGAUUUGAGCUGCGUUUGUGGUAGGCUCUGCUUACGAGAUGGGAGGGCAACCCAUGCUCUUGCUGAGAGCGAAGGAAAGAGGAACUCACCACUGGCUGGAGGAAUGUCCACUCGUCAUGGGAAGGCAGAAAUGGAUUAUCAAGUUUCAGACUUAGAAAACAAAGAAAAACUCUAAUUGCGGACAUUCCUUGCAGUUUAAGAUCAGGGUAAAUAUACCAAUACAAAAUUACUGGGGUCAAAGGCUUUUGUAUGUGUGGUUUUUUCCCGCAGUAAUGGGUCACUUGAUCAGAAAUCCCUGUGUGAACUCACUUUUUUUUGGUAAUGAUGACAUGAGAAUUUCCACACUUGCCAAGUCAGUAUUACGUGGAACUGAAACCAGACUCAGUGCAUAUGAAGACUUUGCUCACACUUGUUUUUACUACAGUCAGCAAUGCUUCAUAAGGCCAAAUUUAAUGAUGUAAUUUUGGCAGAGCUAAUAUAAAUAGCUCAAAAUUAUUAAUUUACUUUUGGUUGCAAUUAUUAACCAAUAUGUAUGUUAUGUGAUAGCUAUCAGUUUUCUAUUUACCUUUAUUAGGUGAGGCCCCAAAGAAAAAUUUUUAGCUAAAUAUAUUAGGUUCUCCAAAGGGUCAGGAAAGGAGCCUGAAAACAGAGAAGAGACUGAAUUGAAUAGCUUAGAUUUCUAGUACUGGGCAUUCUGAAAGCGUUUUGGCAAUUUAUCCCCUAAAAAAGAAUUUAGAUCAGAUGGGAGAUAAUAAAUUAGAGAAUUUGAUUCAAGAGGCUUAACUCUGGUUAAUCAAAUGAUGACUAAUUUCCAAUCUGGAAUUUGAUCAAUUAGUAAACUGGUACCCCAAAAUUGGUUAAGAGUAAAAUUGUUAAGAGGGCUGUAGUCAUUUUUAAAAGAGAUGUUAUUUCUUAUUCCCAAUCAAAUCUUAUAUUGCUGAAUUCUAUUAUGCUCCAAUAUUAAAUUUUUAAAAGUUGGCUUUUUAAAAAUUGGUUUUUAAAAUUGGUUUUUGAAAAUUUAAAAAGUUGGUUUUUAAAAAUUUUUUUAAUUUUUAAAAGUUGGCUCACGCCUGUAAUCCCAGCACUCUGGGAAGCCAAGGCAGCUGGAUCAUGAGGUCAGGCAUUUGAGACCAGCCUGGCCAACAUAGUGAAACCCCAUCUCUACUAAAAAAAUACCAAAAAAUUAGCCGGGUGUGGUGGCAGGCGCCCGUAAUCCCAGCUACUCAGGAGGCAGAGGCAGGAGAAUCGCUUGAACCUGGGAGGUGUAGGUUGCCGUGAGCCGAAAUCACGCCAUUCAUUGUUCUCCAGCCCGGGUGACAGUGCGAG
rnacentral:lncRNA from 10 species